rnacentral:rRNA from 2 species
CUGGGAUAACUUCGGGAAACCGGAGCUAAUACCGGAUACGUUCUUUUCUCGCAUGAGAGAAGAUGGAAAGACGGUUUACGCUGUCACUUAUAGAUGGGCCCGCGGCGCAUUAGCUAGUUGGUGAGGUAAUGGCUCACCAAGGCGACGAUGCGUAGCCGACCUGAGAGGGUGAUCGGCCACACUGGGACUGAGACACGGCCCAGACUCCUACGGGAGGCAGCAGUAGGGAAUCUUCCGCAAUGGACGAAAGUCUGACGGAGCAACGCCGCGUGAACGAAGAAGGCCUUCGGGUCGUAAAGUUCUGUUGUUAGGGAAGAACAAGUACCAGAGUAACUGCUGGUACCUUGACGGUACCUAACCAGAAAGCCACGGCUAACUACGUGCCAGCAGCCGCGGUAAUACGUAGGUGGCAAGCGUUGUCCGGAAUUAUUGGGCGUAAAGCGCGCGCAGGUGGUUCCUUAAGUCUGAUGUGAAAGCCCACGGCUCAACCGUGGAGGGUC